rnacentral:snRNA from 1 species
GGAUGUGAGGACGGUCUGGCUGACUGGGCGGGUGUCCCCUUCUUCCCUCACUGUUUCAUGUGUAACCCUCCCAAAGCUGCACACUUGGUCAAAGAGGAUGACCUCCCCUGAAUAGAGGAGGAGUGGUCUUUGGCCAAGGGUAUACAAGCAGCUGUGCUCUCCUGCUAGAACCUCCAAACAAGCUCUCAAGAGUCAGGGUCUUACUAAGUUGCACAACAGGCCUUGAGCUUUCUGU